rnacentral:rRNA from 1 species
UUGACGGGACCCGCACAAGCGGUGGAUGAUGUGGUUUAAUUCGAUGCAACGCGAAAACCUUACCCACCUUUGACAUGUACGGAAUCCUUUAGAGAUAGAGGAGUGCUCGAAAGAGAGCCGUAACACAGGUGCUGCAUGGCUGUCGUCAGCUCGUGUCGUGAGAUGUUGGGUUAAGUCCCGCAACGAGCGCAACCCUUGUCAUUAGUUGCUACGAAAGGGCACUCUAAUGAGACUGCCGGUGACAAACCGGAGGAAGGUGGGGAUGACGUCAAGUCCUCAUGGCCCUUAUAGGUGGGGCUACACACGUCAUACAAUGGCUGGUACAAAGGGUUGCCAACCCGCGAGGGGGAGCCAAUCCCAUAAAGCCAGUCGUAGUCCGGAUCGCAGUCUGCAACUCGACUGCGUGAAGUCGGAAUCGCUAGUAAUCGUGGAUCAGCAUGUCACGGUGAAUACGUUCCCGGGUCUU